rnacentral:rRNA from 1 species
UCGAGAAUUUUUCUCAAUGGGCGAAAGCCUGAAGGAGCGACGCCGCGUGAGGGAUGAAGGGCUUCGGCCCGUAAACCUCUGUCAUUUGCGAACAAACCUUAUCCGUGAACAACGGAUAGGCUGAUUGUAGCGAAAGAGGAAGGGACGGCUAACUCUGUGCCAGCAGCCGCGGUAAUACAGAGGUCCCAAGCGUUGUUCGGAUUCACUGGGCGUAAAGGGUGCGUAGGUGGCUGGGUAAGUUUGAUGUGAAAUCUCCGGGCUCAACCCGGAAAAUGCAUUGAAUACUAUCCAGCUAGAGGUUUGGAGGGGGGACUGGAAUUCUUGGUGUAGCAGUGAAAUGCGUAGAUAUCAAGAGGAACACCAGUGGCGAAGGCGAGUCCCUGGACAAAUCCUGACACUGAGGCACGAAAGCUAGGGGAGCAAACAGG